rnacentral:rRNA from 1 species
UGGGGAAUUUUGGACAAUGGGGGAAACCCUGAUCCAGCCAUCCCGCGUGUGCGAUGAAGGCCGUCGGGUUGUAAAGCACUUUUGGCAGGAAAGAAACGUCAUGGGUUAAUACCCCGUGAAACUGACGGUACCUGCAGAAUAAGCACCGGCUAACUACGUGCCAGCAGCCGCGGUAAUACGUAGGGUGCAAGCGUUAAUCGGAAUUACUGGGCGUAAAGCGUGCGCAGGCGGUUCGGAAAGAAAGAUGUGAAAUCCCAGAGCUCAACUUUGGAACUGCAUUUUUAACUACCGGGCUAGAGUGUGUCAGAGGGAGGUGGAAUUCCGCGUGUAGCAGUGAAAUGCGUAGAUAUGCGGAGGAACACCGAUGGCGAAGGCAGCCUCCUGGGAUAACACUGACGCUCAUGCACGAAAGCGUGGGGAGCAAACAGG